AGGAAGAAGCUUGCUUCUUUGCUGACGAGUGGCGGACGGGUGAGUAAUGUCUGGGAAACUGCCUGAUGGAGGGGGAUAACUACUGGAAACGGUAGCUAAUACCGCAUAACGUCGCAAGACCAAAGAGGGGGACCUUCGGGCCUCUUGCCAUCGGAUGUGCCCAGAUGGGAUUAGCUAGUAGGUGGGGUAACGGCUCACCUAGGCGACGAUCCCUAGCUGGUCUGAGAGGAUGACCAGCCACACUGGAACUGAGACACGGUCCAGACUCCUACGGGAGGCAGCAGUGGGGAAUAUUGCACAAUGGGCGCAAGCCUGAUGCAGCCAUGCCGCGUGUAUGAAGAAGGCCUUCGGGUUGUAAAGUACUUUCAGCGGGGAGGAAGGGAGUAAAGUUAAUACCUUUGCUCAUUGACGUUACCCGCAGAAGAAGCACCGGCUAACUCCGUGCCAGCAGCCGCGGUAAUACGGAGGGUGCAAGCGUUAAUCGGAAUUACUGGGCGUAAAGCGCACGCAGGCGGUUUGUUAAGUCAGAUGUGAAAUCCCCGGGCUCAACCUGGGAACUGCAUCUGAUACUGGCAAGCUUGAGUCUCGUAGAGGGGGGUAGAAUUCCAGGUGUAGCGGUGAAAUGCGUAGAGAUCUGGAGGAAUACCGGUGGCGAAGGCG
rnacentral:rRNA from 1 species